rnacentral:misc_RNA from 2 species
UGUGGGAGCGGGCUUGCUCGCGAAUGCGUCGUAUCAGCCAGCAUCACCGACAACUGGCCCAGCGCUUUCGCGAGCAAGCCCGCUCCCACA